rnacentral:rRNA from 1 species
UACGGGGGGAGCAAGCGUUGUUCGGAUUUACUGGGCGUAAAGGGCGCGUAGGCGGCAUAUUAAGUCAGCUGUGAAAUCUCCGAGCUUAACUCGGAACUGUCAGCUGAUACUGAUGUGCUAGAGUGCAGAAGGGGCAAUCGGAAUUCUUGGUGUAGCGGUGAAAUGCGUAGAUAUCAAGAGGAACACCUGAGGUGAAGACGGGUUGCUGGGCUGACACUGACGCUGAUAGCGCGAAAGCCAGGGGAGCAAACGGG